GAUGAACGCUGCCAGAAUGCUUAACACAUGCAAGUCAUUGGCGAAGCUGCGCUUGCGCAGUCUAGCCAAGGCGGACGGGUGAGUAACGCGUAAGGAACUUGCCCUGCAGACAGGGAUAACAGACGGAAACGACUGAUAACACCUGGUAUUGUCAGGCUGGCGCAUGCCGGCCUGAUGAAAGGAGACGCUGCAGGAGAGCCUUGCGUCCUAUUAGCUAGUUGGUGGGGUAACGGCCCACCAAGGCGAUGAUAGGUAGCCGGCCUGAGAGGGUGAACGGCCACAAGGGGACUGAGAUACGGCCCUUACUCCUACGGGAGGCAGCAGUGGGGAAUAUUGGACAAGGGGGGCAACCCUGAUCCAGCAAUUCUGUAUGCACGAAGAAGGUUUUCGGAUUGUAAAGUGCUUUCAGCAGGGAAGAAGAAAGUGACGGUACCUGCAGAAGAAGCGACGGCUAAAUACGUG
rnacentral:rRNA from 1 species